rnacentral:rRNA from 1 species
CCUACGAGAGGCAGCAGUGGGGGAUAUUGCACAAUGGAGGAAACUCUGAUGCAGCGACGCCGCGUGAGGGAAGACGGUCUUCGGAUUGUAAACCUCUGUCUGUGGGGAAGCAAAUGAAGGUACCCAAAGAUGAAGCUCCGGCUAACUCCGUGCCACCAGCCGCGGUUAUACGUACUGAGCGAGCGUUGUCCGGAAUUACUGGGUGUAAAGGGAGCGUAGGCGGGCGAGACAGUUGCAUGUUAAAUCUACCGGCUUAUAUGGUAGCUGCGUUCAAAACUUCUUGUCUUGAGUGAAGUAGAGGCAGGCGGAAUUACUAGUGUAGCGGUGAAAUGCGUAGAUAUUAGGAGGAACACCAGUGGCGAAGGCGGCCGGCUGGGCUUUAACUGACGCUGAGGCUCGAAAGCGUGGGGAGCAAACAGGAUUAGAUACCCAGUAGUC